rnacentral:rRNA from 1 species
UACGUAGGGGGCGAGCGUUGUCCGGAUUUAUUGGGCGUAAAGAGCGUGUAGGCGGUUCGGUAAGUCUGUCGUGAAAUCCUGAGGCUCAACCUCGGGCGUGCGAUGGAUACUGCCGGGCUAGAGGAUGGUAGAGGCGAGUGGAAUUCCUGGUGUAGCGGUGAAAUGCGCAGAUAUCAGGAGGAACACCAAUUGCGAAGGCAGCUCGCUGGGACGUAACUGACGCUGAGACGCGAAAGCGUGGGGAGCAAACAGG